GCAAGAACACUCAUGUGAAAUAGCUGCUUUCAAGAACAAAGUUAAUAAUUGCACAAAGAAAGGAUUGUUAAAGAAGCAUAAAAAUUUGGUAAGUUUCUUUUUAUUGUUGAUGCUUACAAAGAAGCUAAUAUGUAACUGAAGAAAAGGGCAAAUUAGACCAUAAAACUCAAAAAUAUAAUUUCUGACUCAAAGAAUGUCCUUAAAGAAAAUAGAAAUUGCUAUGCACUUCAUCUAUUGCAUAAA
rnacentral:misc_RNA from 1 species